AUUGAACGCUGGCAGCAGGCCUAACACAUGCAAGUCGAGCGGAUGAAGGGAGCUUGCUCCUGGAUUCAGCGGCGGACGGGUGAGUAAUGCCUAGGAAUCUGCCUGGUAGUGGGGGAUAACGUCCGGAAACGGGCGCUAAUACCGCAUACGUCCUGAGGGAGAAAGUGGGGGAUCUUCGGACCUCACGCUAUCAGAUGAGCCUAGGUCGGAUUAGCUAGUUGGUGGGGUAAAGGCCUACCAAGGCGACGAUCCGUAACUGGUCUGAGAGGAUGAUCAGUCACACUGGAACUGAGACACGGUCCAGACUCCUACGGGAGGCAGCAGUGGGGAAUAUUGGACAAUGGGCGAAAGCCUGAUCCAGCCACGCCGCGUGUGUGAAGAAGGUCUUCGGAUUGUAAAGCACUUUAAGUUGGGAGGAAGGGCAGUAAGUUAAUACCUUGCUGUUUUGACGUUACCAACAGAAUAAGCACCGGCUAACUUCGUG
rnacentral:rRNA from 1 species